rnacentral:rRNA from 1 species
UCGCCCUUAGAGUUUGAUCCUGGCUCAGGACGAACGCUGGCGGCGUGCCUAACACAUGCAAGUCGGACGGAGGUUGCGAGGAAGCUUGCGAAUUGCGACCUUAGUGGCGGACGGGUGAGUAACGCGUGGAUAACCUGCCUGACAGACCGGGACAACACCGGGAAACUGGUGCUAAUACCGGAUACGCUCAUAAGUACGCAUGUACAAAUGAGGGAAGGGGAAACCCGCUGACAGAUGGGUCCGCGUCCCAUUAGCUAGUUGGAGGUGUAAAGGACCCCCAAGGCGACGAUGGGUAGCCGGCCUGAGAGGGUGGACGGCCACACUGGAACUGAGACACGGUCCAGACUCCUACGGGAGGCAGCAGUGGGGAAUCUUCCGCAAUGGGCGCAAGCCUGACGGAGCAACGCCGCGUGAGUGAUGAAGGCUUUCGGGUUGUAAAACUCUGUCUUCAGGGAAGAAACAAAUGACGGUACCUGAGGAGGAAGCCCCGGCUAACUACGUGCCAGCAGCCGCGGUAAAACGUAGGGGGCGAGCGUUGUCCGGAAUUACUGGGCGUAAAGGGCGCGUAGGCGGUUUUUCAAGUCAGGGGUGAAAACUCUGGGCUCAACUCAGAGCCUGCCUCUGAAACUGGAAGACUUGAGGGCAGGAGAGGGGAGUGGAAUUCCCAGUGUAGCGGUGAAAUGCGUAGAUAUUGGGAGGAACACCAGUGGCGAAGGCGACUCUCUGGCCUAACCCUGACGCUGAGGCGCGAAAGCGUGGGGAGCAAACGGGAUUAGAUACCCCGGUAGUCCACGCCGUAAACGA